CUUGAUUCGUUUUUUUCCAGUUCUGCUAUCCGACCUGCUUUCCGAGGUACGUAUUUUCCACUUUCUACUUCAUUGGUCGUUUCUUUGUUUUCGUGACUUCUAUUGUCCUAUUGCUCGGGUCGUCGAGAGGCCUGAUUUGACCUCCUCCGACCUCCCGGGCACUUGUGGAUUGCGGAGAACGUCUCCAGCUUUCCUCAGACUACCGACGGUCAUCCUGGAGCCCGCGCGCACGCACGGGAUCCGGGCGGUCCGUUGAUAGUUACCAUCUUCAGCUCCGAAACGUACUUUUCUCAUCACCCCUUUCUCUUAAGGUCGGACACGGACCGAGGUUGUAUACUUUGCUUAUAUUAAAUAAGGGUGUAACCCCACGUUUGGUCAACCUGAGUCUCUACUGGACUCUGGUUUGGAU